rnacentral:tRNA from 2 species
AAGCUCGACGGCGGGGUGAUCCCCCGCCUACGGCUUCCUAAACCGUAGGUCGGAAGUUCGAAUCUUCCCGGGAUCCCCA